UUGAUUCACUUUUGCAACGACAUGCUAGCUGGAAUCGCCGGAUUACAGCGACUACGCUAAACUAAAGCCAACCGGGCCGUUUCUAGAUUAGGACAAUGGCUGGGUCGGCUAUAAAACGCUUUGGCUCACUCAUCCAACUCUAAGGACUGCGGGGAGUGACCCAAUUUCACCUAGGGGUGGCGUGCUGCUUUAAGCAUACAAUCUGGCUCUUUUAAGACUA